UCUGCCCUAGAGGCAUUGCAGGUGUGGCUGCUGUGUCACCUGUGCAUCAGUAGGUGACCGAGGAGACUGGCUAUGUCUGUGCUCAGUGUUCUGACCUGUGGACAUCUGAACAAUUUGUAACCUAACAGU
rnacentral:snoRNA from 1 species